rnacentral:piRNA from 1 species
CUUCUCUGGGGUUGUGGAUUGUAGG